CUCGAGGCCAGAUCUUUCCGGUUGAUCCCGCCGGACCUGACUGCUAUCGGAUUGAUACUAAGCCAUGCGAGUCUUUGUAGCAAUACAAGGCAGACGGCUCAGUAACACGUAGUCAAUCUACCCUAUGGACGGGGAUAACCUCGGGAAACUGAGAAUAAUACCCGAUAGAUCAUUAUGCCUGGAAUGGUUUAUGGUCGAAAUGAUUUAUCGCCGUAGGAUGGGACUGCGGUCUAUCAGCUUGUUGGUGAGGUAAUGGCCCACCAAGGCUAUAACAGAUACGGGCUCUGAGAGGAGAAGCCCGGAGAUGGGUACUGAGACACGGACCCAGGCCCUAUGGGGCGCAGCAGGCGAGAAAACUUUGCAAUGUGCGAAAGCACGACAAGGUUAAUCCGAGUGUUUUCCGCUAAAGAAAUCUUUUGUCAGUCCUAAAAACACUGAUGAAUAAGGGGUGGGCAAGUUCUGGUGUCAGCCGCCGCGGUAAAACCAGCACCUCAAGUGGUCAGGAGGAUUAUUGGGCCUAAAGCAUCCGUAGCCGGCCGUGUAAGUUUUCGGUUAAA
rnacentral:rRNA from 1 species